AAAAAUAGAUUUCUCCUAUCUUCCUGUAGUUGGGACAAAGACUGUUUGUCUGUUUGAAGGACUUUAGUUAACUAAAUCCUAAGAUUUGUAACGGGUCCUCAGGCUAGCUGAACAUGUACUGUGGAGAUGCGUCGACAUCUGGUAAUCAUCUUACUCGUCAAAUAGGGUCUGCGUGUGGCGAGCUACGGGACAGAAAUCGUUGGAAAGUUUACUGUCGAGUGCCGCUACAACUAU
rnacentral:misc_RNA from 1 species